UAAAUCCUCUGAGCAGACCUUGAAUUGAAAGAUGUUAUUUUAUUUUAUUUUAUUUUAAUUUUUGCAAACGGUUACAGUACAAUUAAAUAGAUGAAAGAAACAAAUUAUUAUCUUGUUGUUUCUGUCGCUAUGGCAACCCGGAUCGAAGCUGCUGAUGCCGUUUCUAGCCCGGAUAUGGAAACUACGUAAUGAAUGACUCAUGAUAACGUUUGUGGUAAAAACAAAAACAAAAACAGAAGAAGAAGAAGAUAAAGAAGAUAAAGAAGAUAAAGAAGAUAACGAUAUCAGCGUAUUGUGCUUUCGUCCUCUCAAGAGCAAAAUCAUACUCCAACUAUGAGAAGUGGACUACGGUGAAAUAUCUGAUUGCGUGUCGUCCUGCAGGCAGAAUCACCUUCUUGUCCCAUGCCUGGGGGGGCAGGUGCCUGGGGGGGCAGGGCAUCACAUGUUAAGAUAACAAAGAAAUCGGGCUUCAUUUCACCUGCUACCACAACAUGGGGACCAGAUUUUGGCUGAUCGGGGCUUUACCCUGAAAGAUGACUUUUCCGUGCUAGGUGUCAGUCUCAUAACCCCAGCCUUCACUCGUGGCAAGAAGCAGCUCACAGGCAAAGACGAUGAAGAAUCCAGAAUUAAAUCAAAAAUUCGGAUUCAUGU